rnacentral:rRNA from 1 species
GAUCAUGGCUCAGAACGAACGCUGGCGGCAUGCCUAACACAUGCAAGUCGAACGAGACCUUCGGGUCUAGUGGCGCACGGGUGCGUAACGCGUGGGAACCUGCUUUAGGUUCGGAAUAACUCAGAGAAAUUUGAGCUAAUACCGGAUAAUGUCUUCGGACCAAAGAUUUAUCGCCUUUAGAUGGGCCCGCGUUGGAUUAGCUAGUUGGUGGGGUAAAGGCCUACCAAGGCGACGAUCCAUAGCUGGUCUGAGAGGAUGAUCAGCCACACUGGGACUGAGACACGGCCCAGACUCCUACGGGAGGCAGCAGUGGGGAAUAUUGGACAAUGGGCGAAAGCCUGAUCCAGCAAUGCCGCGUGAGUGAUGAAGGCCUUAGGGUUGUAAAGCUCUUUUACCCGAGAUGAUAAUGACAGUAUCGGGAGAAUAAGCUCCGGCUAACUCCGUG